rnacentral:rRNA from 1 species
UACGUAGGGACCGAGCGUUGUCCGGAAUCAUUGGGCGUAAAGAGCGUGUAGGCGGCUAUUUAAGUCCUGCGUGAAAUCCUGCGGCUCAACCGCAGACGGUCGUGGGAAACUGGAUGGCUAGAGUGCGGGAGAGGAGAGUGGAAUUCCUGGUGUAGCGGUGAAAUGCGCAGAUAUCAGGAAGAACACCCGUGGCUAAGGCGGCUUGCCAGAAUGCGCUCGACGGUGAGGGAUGAAAGCUGGGGGAGCAAACCGG